rnacentral:lncRNA from 1 species
UCAAACUCGAUUGAUUCAAACUGCAAAGGUAGUCGACUCCCUCAAACUCAAAAAUUCGCCAAAAAUUCUUUAUUAUUCCAAAUCAAUCGAGUCUUAUCUUGUCGGAAAUCUAACAAAAAAAACUACAACUAUUCAGAAUCUCAAAUUAAAAUAAAAGAAAUUGAGUGACUGAUUGAAGAAAAUCCAAGGCUCUUGAAACCCUUGGGAUAUUUGAAAGGCCGAGGAGAUAUCUACCUCAAUGAAACAUAUUU